GAUGAAGAACGUAGCGAAAUGCGAUAAGUAAGGUGAAUUGCAGAAUUCAGUGAAUCAUCGAAUCUUUGAACGCACAUUGCGCCCGCCAGUAUUCUGGCGGGCAUGCCUGUUCGAGCGUCAUUUCAACCAUCAAGCCCCCGGCUUGUGUUGGGGACCUGCGGCUGCCGCAGGCCCUGAAAAGCAGUGGCGGGCUCGCUGUCACACCGAGCGUAGUAGCAUACAUCUCGCUCUGGGCGUGCUGCGGGUUCCGGCCGUUAAACCACCUUCAUAACCCAAGGUUGACCUCGGAUCAGGUAGGAAGACCCGCUGAACUUAAGCAUAUCAAUAAGCGGAGGA
rnacentral:misc_RNA from 1 species